rnacentral:lncRNA from 1 species
ACAUAUUAAUCUCUUAUCAGAUACCUGAUUUGCAAAGAUUUUCUCCCAUUCUUAGCUUGCCUUUUCACUCUGCUGUUUGUGCCCUUUAAUGCACAGAUUUAAAGUCCCAUUUGCCUGUUUUUGCUUUUGCUGCCUGUGCUUUUGGUAUAUCCAAGAAAUUAUUGCCAAAUUCAUUGUCAUGAAGCUUUUCUCUUAUAUUUUCUUCUAAGAGGUUUAUGGUCUUAGGUCUUACAUCUAGAUCUUUAAUCCAUUUUGAGUGAUUUUUUAUAUGGUAUAAGAUAUAGGUCCAGUUUCAUCCUUCUCUUUUUUUUUUUUUAAGAUUUUAUUUAUUUAUUUAUUUGACACAGAGAGAGAGAGACAGCCAGCGAGAGAGGGAACACAGGCAGGGGAAGUGGGAGAGGAAGAAGUACGCUCCCAGCAGAGGCAGACGCUUAACAACUGAGCCACCCAGGCGGCCCCGGUUUCAUUCUUUUUCAUAUGGAUAUCCAGUUUUCUCAUCGCCAUUUGUUGAAGAGACUGUUUCUCAUUAAGUGUCCUUGAUAUCUUUGUCAAAGAUCAUUUGACCAUAUAUCUGAGAGUUUAUUUCUGUACUCCAGUUUAUUUCUCAAUGAACUCAAAUCUACCACAACUAGUCAAGUCUUUGUAUAUGGAUGAAAUGCACACCUUCUUGUAUCAGUCUGCAUGAGCGGAGGAAGCAGCAUCUGGCACCUCAGCUCUGUGAAACAUCGCUGACUGCUCCUGGGAAGGGGAGGCAAGAAGCAGCCGACCUGCCUUAGGAAGGGAGGAAGCAGCAUCUGGCACCUCAGCUCUGUGAAACAUCGCUGAC